rnacentral:rRNA from 1 species
AUGAACGCUGGCGGCGUGCCUAAUACAUGCAAGUCGAGCGAACAGACGAGGAGCUUGCUCCUCUGACGUUAGCGGCGGACGGGUGAGUAACACGUGGAUAACCUACCUAUAAGACUGGGAUAACUUCGGGAAACCGGAGCUAAUACCGGAUAAUAUAUUGAACCGCAUGGUUCAAUAGUGAAAGACGGUUUUGCUGUCACUUAUAGAUGGAUCCGCGCCGCAUUAGCUAGUUGGUAAGUUAACGGCUUACCAAGGCAACGAUGCGUAGCCGACCUGAGAGGGUGAUCGGCCGCACGGGAACUGAGACACGGUCCAGACUCCUACGGGAGGCAGCAGUAGGGAAUCUUCCGCAGUGGGCGAAAGCCUGACGGAGCAACGCCGCGUGAGUGAUGAAGGUCUUCGGAUCGUAAAACUCUGUUAUUAGGGAAGAACAAAUGUGUAAGUAACUAUGCACGUCUUGACGGUACCUAAUCAGAAAGCCACGGCUAACUACGUG